rnacentral:pre_miRNA from 1 species
UUAGGUCGAUUUUGUAUGGAGUUGGAACGUCUGCCUAGGUUUGCCGCUAGGGGCGCUGAUCCAACUGCAUUAAAAUUUGAGUGA